AGUGAACGCUGGCGGUAGGCCUAACACAUGCAAGUCGAACGGCAGCACAGUAAGAGCUUGCUCUUACGGGUGGCGAGUGGCGUACGGGUGAGGAAUACAUCGGAAUCUACUUUUUCGUGGGGGAUAACGUAGGGAAACUUACGCUAAUACCGCAUACGACCUACGGGUGAAAGCAGGGGAUCUUCGGACCUUGCGCGAUUGAAUGAGCCGAUGUCGGAUUAGCUAGUUGGCGGGGUAAAGGCCCACCAAGGCGACGAUCCGUAGCUGGUCUGAGAGGAUGAUCAGCCACACUGGAACUGAGACACGGUCCAGACUCCUAAGGGAGGCAGCAGUGGGGAAUAUUGGACAAUGGGCGCAAGCCUGAUCCAGCCAUACCGCGUGGGUGAAGAAGGCCUUCGGGUUGUAAAGCCCUUUUGUUGGGAAAGAAAAGCAGCAGGUUAAUACCCCGCUGUUCUGACGGUACCCAAAGAAUAAGCACCGGCUAACUUCGUG
rnacentral:rRNA from 1 species